AUGUAUAGUGAGCAUCUGGGAUGCACACUGUUUAGUCUUUAAUAGGGAUGACUUUGCUGAUAAAAUAUGCAUCUAAGUAUUACUGUACAGACGCAAGCACUUGAUGGUCUUAGAUUAGAAUUGCUUUGAUUCUGGGACUUUCACUUGAAUAACAGGGAAAGACACCAGGCAGUUCAUUAGGAUGAUUGUAAAUAUAUUUUACCUUAAUAGUAUGGACACCUAAGCUGUGGUAUCUUAUAAGUGAAAAGAUUAAUGAUACUUGAGCAGCAGCAAUAACAUAUGCCAACAGUGACAGGAGCCUUACAAAAAUGGUAGUUACAGAACACUCACAUAUUAAUGUGAUCUGAGACUCCCAGGUGCAUCAGUUUGAAUCACAAAUACUAAUUCUGUAUUAAGGUUAGUCCAACUAGUUAUAUAUAUGUUCAGAGCUGUUAUGCUGGCUGUCUUGUAAAUGUCAUUAAAGUAAUUGAUGGGAUUUUUCUUCAUUAGGUUUGCUGUUUAAAGAGUUGGUGAAUGGCAUUGGGGCUGUGGGAAAUGUAGCUUGUCUGGUUUUGUCAUGUGACACAUCCUGAAUUUAUAGGAAAAAGCUGAACUGCUGACCAUGUGGUUGUGGCAAAAAUACUAUCUUCAAAAUAGAAACAGAACUACCUAUUUUAGUUUAUUCAUUUCUCCAGAUUACUUUAAAGAUUAGAUUGCAUUCCAUUCAGUUAAGGGCUUUUCACUAAAAGUUCAUCUCUACAAAUAUAUAACAGAGGCUCAAACAAUCCACUCCCACUAAUCCUUCCACCAUUCAGGGCAGCUAUGCUAAAUACCAGGAACACAGAAGCUCUGGAAUACUUUGCAAGUGAUGUGAGCUCUGCUUUGUCUUGUGAACUUGCUGUGACUUCAGUCCAGAUGCUUCUCUGCCCCGAGAGAGAGAGAAGAGUGAAAUUGCAAUAUCCAAAUUUCAAAAAUUUCCAAAAUCAAAAGGAAAGAUGCAGAUUUGGAAUCAGCAUACUGAAGACACCUUAGCUAAAAACUUGUAGUUCUUCUAUGAGGACUUCAAAUUCUGGUAGAAGAGAUGUGACUGCAGAGAAUCAUGUGGAAUUUCAUGCAUCAGAGCUCUUGAGAAGGAUGGAAGGUUUGUGAGAAGAAACUGCAAAACCUCUGCUUGGUUACUUGUUGCUGCAGUGCCUUGUGGGAUCACUCGCAGUCAGGCAGUAAUAUCGAAGGCUGUUAGUCUGUUAAAAAUGAGCAUGAAUGGCUUACUCUGAACUAAAGAUGCAAGUAAUAAUCCAUGUAUAUCUUUAGUCUGCUUCCUAGAUAUGCCUAAAAGCAGAGAAAGAGGAGACAUGUCCUUUUGAAAUAUUCCUAGAAAUACACCUUUAGUAUUUUACAUAUGUUGCUUUUAUGCUGCCAUCUCAAAGUGGUCUCUGUAUACAGUACCGCAAAAGUCUGACAAUUCUUAAAUUUUGGUCAUGUGCUUUUGCUACUGUUUUUUAAACUUAAGAAAUUUGAUUCAAGACCUUUACCCUCAAGGUGUCCCAGUUCUUAACCUGCUUUGCUGUCUGGCCACCUGUAUCACUUAUUUGACCUAUUGGUGUAAGGAAUCUUACUGUAACUAUAUCGAUUUCCUAUGUUGCACUGUUUUUAAUCUUUUCUUUUUGCAAAGCUAAAGCUCUGAUGAGGUAGAAGGAGAAGGUAGGGUAAUGAGACAUAAAUUCAGGAAUGUCUAGAUGUCUUAAUGAAGUCUGGCGCUCGAAAAAUAGAUUAGCUGGGAAAUCUUCUGUAUUGGAAGUCCUGUAAGUAAUUUUAGUUAAAUACUAGCUUACGUAAGAUAUUUUUGUAAUAAUACCAGUUGUAAGAUAUCCAUCAUCAAUAUCCAUUUUAAUUGGCUGGUGCCAAUUGUUUGGCAGCAUGUGUUUCCCAGCAGGUCAAGGGAGGUGAUCCUCCCCCUCUACUCAGCCCUGG
rnacentral:lncRNA from 1 species